AACGAACGCUGGCGGCAUGCCUAACACAUGCAAGUCGAACGAGACGUUCGGGUCGAGUGGCGCAAGGGUGCGUAACGCGUGGGAACCUGCCCUGAGGUUCGGGAUGACUCCCCGAAAGGGGUGCGAAGACCGGAUAAUGUCUUCAUACCAAAGAUUUAUCGCCUUUGGAUGGGCCCGCGUUGGAUUAGCUAGGUGGUAGGGUAAAAGCCUACCAAGGCGACGCUGCAUAGCUGGUCUGAGAGGAUGAUCAGCCACACUGGGACUGAGACACGGCCCAGACUCCUACGGGUGGCCGCAGUGGUGACUAUUCGACACUGCGCGAAAGCCUGAUCCAGCCAUGCCGCGUGAGUGAUGAAGGCCUUAGGGUCGUAAAGCUCUUUUAACCGGUCUGACAAUGACAGUACCGGGCGAAUAAGCGCCGGCUAACUCCGUG
rnacentral:rRNA from 1 species